rnacentral:rRNA from 1 species
CGACUAAGCGUACCCGGUGGAUGCCCUGGCAGUCAGAGGCGCUGAAGGACGUGCUAAUCUGCGAAAAGCGUCGGUAAGGUGAUAUGAACCGUUAUAACCGGCGAUGUCCGAAUGGGGAAACCCAGUGUGAUUCGUCACACUAUCGUUAACUGAAUACAUAGGUUAACGAGGCGAACCGGGGGAACUGAAACAUCUAAGUACCCCGAGGAAAAGAAAUCAACCGA